GAACAGCCCAGGAUAGAGGCAGCGCACAAGACUCCAAAGCUUGUCAUAAAAUCAUCAUAAAGCAUCACCAUCCAUCAUGCCAUCAAAGAAGGUGAUGAAAAAAAACACCCAGGCCCAUUGCCAUCGUGGAUAAGGAGACUAGUGACAACUUUAAGUGUCUCUGAUGCCGCCCCCUGAAAAGAAGAGCUGACUCAACUCAUCUAUUUUUUCAUGACCUCUUUGAGCAGAAAAAUGGCUGUUAAAAUGCAGGAACAUGAUGGCAGUGUGAAAGAAGCCUUAGUGGUCAUUCUCGCAAGGGCCCUGCACUUUGCUUCUACUUUCUAUAUAUACCCCCUUAAUUUCCUAUUAUUUUAACCUCUUAAGGACUUAGGGCGUACCUGUACACCCUAAGCCCGGUCCCUUUGCAAAAAAAGGGGUCACGCCAUGACCCCGCAUCACACCGG